CGAGAAGGCAGAAUGUCAAGAAUCUGGCGUACUCUAAUGGAUACAGUUAAGAAAAAGCAUGCUCCUGACUUCGACCUAUCAAACAACCUCUUUUAAAGGCACUUGCUUCCAACACACACUGCCAUGGCUGUGCCAGGAACUAUCUCAACCUAUCUGGUAAGAGAGAGGCAAUACCACCUCGACAUUUGUAUUCACCCUGGAAAAAGCAGAUUACCAUUGUCCUCAGCGUGGCUGACGUUGCUACUGGUUAGAAAGCAUCCGAUCGCAUUUACUCCAGACUCGCUAAUAAGUAGUUUUAUUCCCAACUUUGUAUUUCAAAAGAUGUUGUAAGCCCUUUCCAAGAUACCAACAGGACACCUGACAAGGGAAAUUGGUUUCUCUAAACCUAGUUAUUUUACAUGUCUCACAACAUGGUGGGAUGAACAGCAAAGCAAUUUGAUUUGUCAGAUUUCCCUACAUGUUCCGAGAAUGUUUUUGUGCUGACUACACAAAAAUCUGCUGAGCAUUCAUUGGUACUAAAGAUAGAUGUUCUCAUCAGCAGACGCAGUGAACAUUCUGAAUUUGUAUGCAGUUUUAGCACCCACUCGUACCAGAUCAUUUUUGAAGGAGCACGAUGAAAGAACCGUGAAGUAAGCAAAGUAGUUCUUCAUGCUGAAACAGAAAAAGGUGCCUAGAGCCUCAUUUAGAAAACCUGUUAGACUAUUGAUACUGCUUCAGAUGCUAACUGCAGAAGAAAAACAAACCUUUGCUACAUUUAAAGCUUAUGAAAAUGCCAUUCUGCACUGAAAACAGUAACAAUAGCAGGAAGCCUUUCCAAACACUCUGGGAACAAGAAUCAAAUGGUGCGAGUUUCCAGUUGUAAACUAUCAUCACACACAUUCUUCAUUAGCAAACAGACUAUUCCCUGCAAUCAAACCCACUCCAGAAAUUAAAAAAAGUUUACCAAUAUUUGGGGGUGGGGAGGGUUCUAUGAAAUAAUUAUUCAGCAGAAAACACUUAAUUUUAGUUUCAUCCAUAUGGAGAAGUCUGGUUGUGCUGCGCAUUUCUAAGAAAUACAGCACAAUUUCUGCAGCCAAGGGGAAGUGUAACUGGAGUGGCUUUAAAAAAAAAAAAAACCAAUCACUUUUUACCCGAGCAACCCUAAAAGCUUUGGAAGUUUAACAAGUAACUUUUGGUGGUGGUGACAACUUAAGCAGUUAGCGCCCUCUCCUCCCACGGCUCACUUGUUCUUGCCUCCAUCACAUGCUGUAAUUUCUGAGGAUGUUCAGUGAACUGAUAUAGGAACUGACCUGCCUUAAAAAUGUCAGUUUUCUGCUUGACUCUCAGUCAGAACAGUUCUUCACUACAAAUCACCAAUAAAUUGAAUGAAAAAUGUAUGCAAAGUUUUAAGAACUGUUUUAAAUAGCCAAAGCCACAGAAUAUUCAAGCAAUUGAUUUCCAAUAAUUUGUUAAGAUUUAUUUUGACACUGACAAGGGAGAGAAGCAGAAUUAUAGAAACUGACACACAAGUGACAAACACAACUCACAUUCACCUGGAAUAUUUUUGCUUUGAAAAGUUUGUCUGUAACAAGCAAUUUUGAUUAAGUGAAAUGAAAUUCAUGGUACAGCAACAGCAUCUGUCAAGAACAAAGAGCCUGGGGCAGAUAUUCUCGUUUCGAUGUUUAAAUCGAACAGAUAGUGUACCUGUUCAACACACAGUACAUAAACUACCUUAUUUUACAAUUUAGAACAGGAAGAGAAGUUGGCAAGCUAUCUUCAAUUUCCUUCUCAAUUGAGCGAACACCCUUAAGAACUAACAGGUGUUCCCAAAACCAAAAUACAUUACAUACAAAAAAAACUUCUAAGCAGUUAUCUUUCCCAGUAAUUCUGUAUGAACAUUGCUAAAAAUCUUGUUGAUUUAAAAAAAAAAUCUAGUAAGGAAUAAACAAAAUAUUUAAUACCUCAGGGGUUUUUCCUAUGAUGAUGUAGGUUUUGUACUUUAAGCUUCAUGUCAUAUAUUACAAACUUCAUUCGCUUCCCCCUCCCAGCACCUCUCCCAAGUAACCCAGGGCCACCACCAAGCCCAAAGCCAUCGCCAGCUGCAGCCGUAUGUUGGACCAGGCCUAUGGUUAUGGAGCAUCCAGGUUCAGCUGAUGGAGUUACACUGCUGCUGGCCCAGAGAGCAACUGUCCAGACGCAGAAAGAGGGAGGACCAGGACUCUGUAAUUCAGUCCAGUGCAUGAGAGAGGGAAUCAAACAGCCUAGAAGCCACUGAACAACUCACCGAAAAUGAUUCGGGACAUCUUCCUCUUUAACCUGACUCCCGAAGCCUUUGCAGGAUUCACUUUCAAAAGCAAAGAAGCGGUAAGUUACUACAGUGUAUCAGGGCUAUAUCCUGUGCUCCUGCUGCUGCCCCCGCUCCUGCGCCAGUCACUGACAGCCCGAGAAGGGGAUAGAUGGGGACAAACCAGGCAAUCCUUUCCCUCACACGCAGGCAGGGCUGCCAAAGUCAUGGAGAAUCGAGCCCACCUUAGCAGAGGACUAGCCUGAACUACGUGCGUAAGAGAAAUUAUUUUCUUAUGCUUGAAGUAUUUAAGGUUUCCUACGUCACUCCAAAUUAAUCAAUCCCUUAUUUGGAAAACUUAUUUCUAAAUAGCUUUUUUUCCCAUGUAUCCCCACAAACGCAAUGUGAUACUACACGCACAAGUCAUUUUUUGAGUCUACUGCACCAGGAGUGGUGAGAGAUUCACCACUCACAAUUUAAGGCUGCGAGGGGGGGCUGUUUUGGCUUUUUCCCUGACAACUGCCAGAUCUCACAAUACAGCUCUGACUGCCUCAGAGCUAGAGGCAGACACAACUACCGCACAAAUGUACUGCUAACAAAGUGAAUAAGCUAUACUUUUAAAUAGCACAGAUUAGAAGUUUAUACUGCAUUUGACAUGGGCCUGAGCAACUCCAGAGGGACAAAAAUUACUUUAUGAGGUAAAAGGAUAUAGUCCAGGUAUUUUAAAAUAAUACCUGAGUCUAGGCAGACAGUAAAUAGAUUAAUUCCUUCUCUUGUCCUCCACCCCUUAAUCUUGCCAAGUAACAUAAUUAUAAGGAGCACAGCAGGAGUGUAACUAAAGGUUAGAGGAUGGCAGCAAGAACUUCUAUCAGCCUUCAUUCCCUGCUCUGUUAUCACCCUUGCAUGUGAGCUUGCUGCAUUGUUUUCCUCAUUUGUAAAACAGAAAUGUCUUAUUUUCAGGGGGCUUUCUUGAGAUGGGUGGUUUGUAGUUUGGGUAUGUUCGGAGAAAGUGUUACACACGGCACAUGAAAUGGAGAAAACAUUGUUUCAGAGGUGAUACCUGAUCUUGAGGUAUAAUGCUGAAGUUGUCAUAAAAGUACAUGCUACCUCUCAUAUAUAAUCAAUAAGGACUUCAUUUUUUUCACUAUUGUGCUGUCCAAAGCAAAGAUUAAAUGUCUGAAGUUAAAGAGAAAAGUGUCAUCAGCUUAAAGUGUAGUUAUGUCUUUUAAAAACCCUGCAACUGUUUUGCCCUUGGAUCUUUCAAGUUUUGUGACUUCUCUAAAAAUCCAGGCCAGUGAAGACAAACGCUUGUAGGAGUACAAUCCAAGAAUAGGAGAGUAAAGGUAAGCAUUCACACUAACUACAGUAAGUUCUGCGCUGAGCCUGAAAUGCUAUUAAAUGCACAAAGAAAAACAAAAGCCUACUGAAAUAACUCUAAACCAUGAUUCCCCACUGUUUACAAUUUAUGUUUGCUUGUUAAUAUGUACGGUCUCUAAAAGAAGCAUGACACAGUUAAACAGACUCCAAGACACUGAUAAGAAACUGGCCAGUUUUACUUUCUGAAUUUCAUACAGUACAGAGAAUCAUUAAAACACCUUACAAAAUAAUUUUACCAAAAAAACCCAGAAAACCAACUAAAAGCGCAGAUUCUAGCUCUAUAAGAACUAAUAAUAAAGUUUCCUCUGCAACGUUCUAAUCCUGUAUACUCACAUGUCUUUUAUACACUGAAUAACUGUACUUUUUGGCAAAGUGUUUUCAUUUGAUUAAAAAUUAUUUUGUCAAUUCUCAGUUUGAAAAAGGGAAAACUUGCUUCUGCGUAAGGACGACCACACAUCGCUCAAAACCCUAUUUCCCCUGUUACUGAGAACCAGUGUUUGGAUCAAUUUAGAAUUGUUUUUCAAGUAUCAAAGUUGUUUAAAACCCCUCUAUUUGGAAGGGCUAUGGCGUUUACAGGCACACGGUGGAUUGCAGGCCAUCAAUAGCAGGUACCUGGGUGUGGCCUUGUGUUUGUAUUUUAUCUUGGAGUUCAACAGUUGCAUAAAUGUUUGACUAUGCAAUUAUGGAAGCAGAGUAAAAACAGUAAGAUAAAAUAAUUGUCUACAUACCUCACUUCAGAAGUGAAGCGUUGUUUACUUUUUAACUCUAUUUUCAAUUUUUAAUACUAAAGAUACUUCUGAACUCCUAAAAACCAGGAAACAAAAGCACCGAUGUUACAGACACCUUCGCUCAACCAUAACCGAAGAUCGGCACGGAAGGGAGCAGCUCCAAGUGCAUCUCAGUACCACACGUUACUACACCACCAAGUAAGUACUAUGACUAUCCAGCAUGGAAAUAGCCUUCCCUUUGCGACUACCCACCACCUCUCCACACAGCACUUAGCUACGGAUCUCGCAUGGAGAGCGGCUUGUUUUACAUUAGUGGGUGGCAACUGUGAAAAGCAUUUCAUUGAAAUCCCUGGCAUGUCUCUUGGAGAUCUAUGUUCCCAAUCAUACAUGUUUGGAGACAGUUUGCUUUUUACGAGAAAGGGUCGUGAAGCAAAGUAGCUCCCUUAAAAGAGAAGCCCUAGAUCCUUCCCUAAAUAUAAUUACUCCCUAUUUGUCUGUUUUUACCCUAAACUGUAAGAGAUCAUCCAUAACAACGUAUCCUUGACAAAGACUUCUUUAUUCCCACCUCUCACAUUUCAGGAGGAGUCAAGAUCUGACAACUGUGGCUCUUUGAAGAGGUGUAAUGGUGGCUCAUAGAUCAAAACUCCAUCUCAGAUGUCACUGGAAAAUGAUUCAUUAGCUAUGUUCAUUUCACAUUUUUGCUAACUUAGGUGUGCUCCUGGGAAGGGCACACCUCCACUGACUUUUUUUUGUAACUCAGCAGAGAAAACUUCAGUUAAGACUAUUUGAUGGUAUAAAGCUCUGCAAAACCAGGCCAUAAAUAAGGUCUUUGGCCCAGGAAACGUGAUUUGCUCAAACAAACCCUGAGAUAACAAGGCUUGUUAUAACUUGACUUCAUAUUUAAAAUUGAACUGUGCAAGUACAAUGGCAAAAUUUCUUUCACAAGGAGUUUUGCCAACAGGAGAUACAAAUGGCUUCCACAAUCUGGAAAGGACCCCCAUCUCCACCUGGAAGGUGGAACUAUGCCCUCAGUUUUCUACGAGCAGACAGUGUGUUAUUAUGAACUUACUACAUCCAGUCUCUUUAAGCCAUUGCGAUUAAUAUGAAUAACUAUGACACAUGACAGGAGUCCAGAAAAAAUGCAGUACUACAAAAUGUUGGCAAGACCUUAAGGAAAUGGGAAUUGCUUUAUUUUAUGUGACCUAUAAAAGGUUCAAAGUUUAUUCUCACUUACCGAAGACAAACUCUCUAUGUAGCUCAAAGAAAACACAGUUAAUGCUUUUCCUAAAUUAUUUUAAAUAUAACUGAGUGACACACUGAAAAAGUCUAUUUCCUUUAGUUAUCAUCACUCUACAAUGCUGAGAAAAGACACACCACCGACUCUUCCACAUUAGACUUUUUAAAGUGGAUCUGUGAAUCUGGAACUUAAACAAUGAUAUUAGGCUGAUACACACGCAAGUUUGGACCUUCAAAACAUCAUGCUGCAGCAAUCCAGAUUACAUCAUCUGUACAAGAGCUCUACCUUGUUCCUACCAAGAUGAAUGGCAAAACUCAAAGCCGUUUUGGCUGACCUGACUCUCCGAAAGGCAUGACGGCAGCUGCUUAUUUAACAGCCUUUACAAGUGGUGUGGUACAGCACCUCACAGCUCCUGGACUGGCAUAAAAACCACACGCAACAUGCGCAAUCCACAAAUGUCUGGCAAUAAAAACUGAAAGCAAAAAUAUAAGAGGGAAGUUAUCAAUGUCUCCUUCCUUCCUAUACCACUCCCUCCGAGAAGCAACGGCCAUACCAUUUUUCUAGAAAAGAAGGUCACAUUGUCAAGCCCAUUUUUAUGGCAUUUUAGUGAAAGAUUAAAGUACUAACUAAUGCUUAGAAGUGCAGUGGAACUGGGGGGGUGGGGGUGGGGUGGAGGCUGAGAAGCAAGAGGCACUGCAGAUAUUAAUAAUUUUUCUUGCCUUUCAAUUUUUUAUGUUCUAUUUUACAUUUAAAAAAGAAGAAAUGAUUGGAAAUAUAUUUUUUUCCACCAUAGCAGUAGUGAUGUGCUUUUGAACAAUGCAUUUUUUUUCAGAACAGGGAAAAAAAGAUGCCUUACAAAAUACAAAAUUAAGAUGGUUGUUUACUAUCUGAAACUAAGGGGAACCUUAUAAAGCAACAGACAUACUGAUCAUGAUAGUAACGCUGUGACAAAACUUAACAGCUAUCGAAAAAAUAAACAAAAGAAGUUAAUGCCAUCACAUCAGGAUCCCUAAGGACAAUUAAAGGUUUAUGCCUACUGAUUUAAAAUAUGAGUGACACUGCGCACAAUAUAUCUACUAUUAAAUUUUUAAUCACUCCUCAGCACAUUUAAAAUAACAGAACUAGCCUUAUGAAAGCACUGCUGAGCUAUUGGUUUCUUCAAAGGUAACCAAGUUAUAAUGGUUAAUUAUGUACCUACACAGUUAAGGAAAUGCAACUUCAAAACCUGCCAUCUACAUGUCCUAGCAAAAUCCCAGCCCUACUAGGGGUACACAACCUCGAAACCAGCUGUAAAAUGGCAUUAAAGAUUAAGUUUAACAGAAUCGGCCAUGCAUCUGUCAGAUCUUAGAGCACAGUUAUGUUGCACCCCACAGGAACAGGUUUUUUAAUAAGGCUGAAGCACCGCCUGACAGUUACAGGGUCUCUGCCCGGUGUUCCACAGGACCAGCCUGUCAAGUUCAUUGUUGUAUGUCACAGUCACUCUGCACGCAGAUACCGUAGGGCAUCGCCAUAGCAUUCCGCAGAUGGCUAAAUCUUACACCACUGUGUAUGCACGUCCCCGGCAACCCCACUGCAUACGCUCUGUGAUGUUAAUUAGCAACAACAUACAACACAUACAAUAAACUUGCACGCUUCGGGGGCAACGGAUACCAUUUUCUUUCCAAGUACCACCUUACUCCUGAAGCAAAACGAAGCGGAACAUAAUCGCAAGCAACAUUUUACAAUAAACUACACUUGCACUUGGUUACAAUCCCUCUGAGGCCGAGUUUACAAGCACGAUCCGCGCUGGAAAACAAACACAGCCAGG